CUGCAUUGGUCCUAAGAGAAAAACUUAGGGAACAAGGAAAAGGUGCAGUAGUGUAAGUAAAAGAAAAUAAAAGAAACAGUUUAAAGAGAUUUGGGAAAAGUGAUUUGCGCUGGUAAUAAAUAUAGUAUCUCUAUCGUCAGGUCGUGUGAUUUGCCCAGUGAUUUGGGCAAACCACUGUGGUCAAAUCGCUUCUUCGGCGCAUGUCUCUCGAUUUGCC
rnacentral:lncRNA from 1 species